GGAGAAUAAACGGUCACUACCUCAAGAAGUCUGAUAAGAAGCUGAGCUGAGACUAGAUGGUGAAAUUCGAACGCAAGCUAUGUUCCAAGUUUAUGGUUCCAGCAGCUCUGCAGUGCCAUGAGGAGCCUUGUGAAAUUGCCUUUAAAGAAAAGGCAAACCAUUUACCAGGAAGAAAGUUGAACAUUGGGUUCACAACCAGGGCUAAACUUAACAGAUUACUUGACGAGGGUGACAUCACACCACAGCAGGUGGAUUCAUUCCAUGAAGCUGUGUUGUGUUUCCUGACAAGUGCUGUGGACUAUGCACUUAAGAAGCUGCCACUGGAAGAGCCACUGAUCAAGCACGAACAAAUUGUAGAUGUA